rnacentral:lncRNA from 1 species
UGUGUUUGCGGCAACAUAUACGGCCACAUAAUCGAUUUGCGGACCGCAUAAGGAUCGCACACACAAGCAGAAAAAAUGAAAUCUGGUCAUUUAAAAAUGUGGUGAAAAUUUAAUAUUUGCGGCUCGCAUAACGAUUAUGCAACCGCAAAAUCGAUCGCAAAGCUGGUUUGUAUCACUCACUCACUAACCCAUCGCAUAACACUUAUGUGAUGGCAUAAUGUGUUAUGCGAUGCACUACCUCACCGCUAACCUCCCAAGUAUAAAAGCCCUAAAUCCCUCACUCACCAUUUCCGUCGCUAAUUUACACUCCCACGCACACGGGCACACCGCAUAACAUAAAACAAAAGAUAUAAAAGAUCAAAAAUAGUAAAACAAAAAAACACAAAAUCAAAAACAAAUUGAAAAGGAAGGGCGCAGCAACAGACACUAUGCCGUCGUCCGCUGGUGAAAAGCUAUAGGACCAGUCCCAACAGAUACACAAUCCAAUGGCGUACAAACUCCAGUUGGGCGCUCCUGCAAAUUCCAAUCAAGAUAUUGUACAUCUAAAUUUUGGUGACGCAAUUACUGUAGCAACAAAUCAAAUAGAAUUUCUGAAAUCUCCCAGCUCGAUUCUGGGCCAAAUAUCACAACAAAAAAUACGUAUGCUGCUCAAUUGACUCAAGAAAAACCAACUGCAACUUUGAAUCAAAAAUUGUUGAAACCUAUUGAAGUUAUUCAUGGAGUUCCAACAAUUCUGUUUUCGAUGGAUGAACGGAUGUAAUUCACAAAAGAGGAGGGAUUGCAUCAAGCUGUUGUGGUGAAACUUUCCUCAAACGCACCAGAUGCAGUCACAUUGAGAAGUUUACUGCCAAAUAUUUUCGGUAGCAAACGACAAGCUUUGAUCGGCCAUCUUGCACCUAGACAAUUACUUAUUAGGAUUGAUCAACAUGAAGAUUUCAUUAAUUCACUUGCAAGGUCAGUUACCUACUUUAAAUACAAUGGUAAGGAGCACCAAAUCAGGGUAUUUCCAGGGUCUGUUGGUUGUUAAUGUAAAGGAGGAAACGACAAAGGCAGUGGUUUGGAUUUCUUUGCCUAAUCCGCCAACAGAAUUGUUUGCAAUGAAGGCUUUGUUGUCUAUAGUUUCUGUUGUUGGUAAGUAUAUAGCCAUUGACAAAGCUACUCAGACUAAGUGGCAUCCUAGUACUGAAAGGGUGAAGGUUAUCCUUGAUUUAAUGGAUAAACUACCAGAUAAAUUGAGGCUGCAAUUUCUGGACAAACAAACUGACCAAAUGGUUGAAGUUUUUCAAUAUUGUGUAUGAUAAUUUGCCAUUAUAUUGCAACCACUAUAAACACCAAGGACAUGAUGAAAAUACAUGUCGCGGUUGAAUGAAAAGGCAGUAGGGAGCAUGCCAGGUGAGGAAGAUGAUGUCGUGCAAAGAGAAGAAGAGAUACUGGUUAAGGAAGAUAAGUUAGUUAAGAAGUAUCAAGGUGAUUUGAGGCAAUUGCUUAGUGAAAAAAAGUGACUUCCAGGUUUGAUUGAGGCAACAGGUGUCGAGGAUAAAGCCCAUAGAACUGAUGGUGUACAGAUUCAUUAUAAAUCUGGGAAUCAGUCAUUAAAAGAUGCUACUGCUGGGGCAUUAAAAGAUGCUUUGCUUCCUGUUGAAACAGCUCUUGCCAAGGCUUGUAAUGAUACCUGAUGUUGUGAAAAAUAAACUCCCAGCUGAUAUACCUGCUACAAGAGCUUUGUCCACGAUUUACAAGGCAGUGAGUAAGGCAACUACAGAUGCACUAGCUGGAGAUGUUCGUGGAUAUGCUGAAAGUUCAAAUUGGGCAACACUGGAUACUACUGUUGUUAAACCUACUAUUGCACUUACAAUUGAAAAAAGAGUUGGGUUAAAUGCUACUGUUGUGCAUGAUUAGGGGCAAGGUGUUGAACGUGUGAGAACUUUAAAUAAUAUAAAUGAUGCAGGUAUUAAGGCAAAGGAACAAGCUAGGCAGAUGCAAGAAACUACAAAAGAUCAACAAAAUACAUAGUUCAAGUAGGGGAGGAAAAAUCUGGGCAGUUUAUUGGGGUUACUGGGGGUGUUGAUUGCCAAGUUGCUACUGCUACUGCAUUAAAGGCUGCUGCUGAUCGACAUGUUUAUUCAAAUAAGAUUUAUAAUGUUCAACAAGUCGAUGGGGCAUAUGUGAUUCAAAUUGGUAAUGGGCGAGGGAUUUCGUUUAUCAACCAACUACUGAAAAUGCAAGUCCAAUAUCUGCAGCCCUGAAGCAAGGUUCUCUGUUUUCUGAGGGGGGAUUUACUAGUAUUCACAAUGCAGUGCGUAAUGCAACUGUUAGAGAUCGUGGAUAUGCUGAAAUGUCAAAUUUGGAGGCUACUGCAGCAUUGAAGGCAGUUGGUGAUCGAGUUGUUUAUGGGGUAGUUGAACCUACUGCUGCACAUGCCGAUUUAAUUGAAAAAUCAUUAGGUCCAAUAACAUCUUUGUCUAGCAAAAAUAAUGUUUCAGUUCACAAAACUCAAACUAGUGUAGAAAAACUCAGUGAAACACCUACAGAAGCACGUGCACAAUUCUAUGCACCUGAACAGAUUCCAUCAGCGUUUCUAUUUCAAUUUUCUGCUGUGCAGCCAGAAAAUAAUUCUAUUCUUAUGGAUGGAAGAUUUAUGGAUCGUGUAGAUGUUAUGGAAUUCGAGUAUGCAGUAUCUAACUUAGCACAAAUACUGGUUGUAAGUACGACCAAUAAUAAAGAAAACGUGGCAACAUUGAAUUGGUUAAGAAUAGUAGUGCUCGACAACAUGCUAAUGUGAACAACUUGGCGGAGGGGUUAACGGUCUGUUAAACACGAAGCUCCAACACUCCUAAUCAACAUUCUUCCAGUCCACAUGUGAAAAAAAUCAUUAAGGAAACUCAGGUUUCCAUGAUGUCGAACGCCACUCCUAUGGCCAAACAACCGUUGGUCACUUUGAAUACAUCGGCACAUGAGAUUCCUUUUCAAUCAUUGGAGUCAUUUGGUGAGUAUUGUAUUGAAUCCGAGCAGCUCCUACUAUCCAUAUGGAAUGAUUAUGAUAUAGUCAAAGAGGAUAUGAGGGAGGAGAGUAAUAUGCAAAUUUGCUGUGGGCUGAUCAAGUUGAGGAUGAAGAGGACGAUGAUGAAGUUGAUUUUGAAUAUGGUAAUGAAAAGGAAAUUGAAUGUGGCAGCCCAUUUUCAGUGGGAUCACCAACGGCACAAGCCCAUGAUAGGGCACUCUUACAUGCAUUGGACAGUCCAACACCACACAAAUUUGCACUUUCAACAGUCGCACAAUGGCUGCAAUCUUCAGGUAAGAACAACAACACAAAUAUUCAAUCUCAAGCCUCAAUUGAUAAACCUAACAUUAAAGAAGGAGUGGUCACCAGGCAACCCCCAAUGCGAGUUGCAAAGCAAAAGGGGGCAACCCCAAUCACAUCCACAAGGCCCAAUCGAUCUAAGAAGAAAUGAUGAAUUUUGAAGACAUUUUGAAGAGAUUGGAAGAAGAAGAAGCCAAAAACCUACAAAUUGAAGAGUGCACAUGCUUGAAAAAAGAGGGGCAACAAUCAAAUAUUUACCGUAUUUUAUUUUACCAUUUUAUAAGUAUAAUCAUAUGUAAUAUCAUGAUAGAGUAUGUUAUAAAUUCUGUGAUGAUCAUACAGUGCUUAGUUCGUUCUUCUUCAUAUUUGUUACAUUCUGGUUAGUAGUUGUGUUCUUUAAUGCCUCAUUAGGAACUAUGAGGUAAGGUUUAGCGUAGUAUGUGCUUGCUCAUGUCCUACGCCUUUGGAAUAUAUCCAUACGGCUAUGAGAUCAUUCACCCUCAUGAGGCUAUGCUAGCAGCCUAUGAGGCUACGUCAAAGGACAUUGGAGGCGCAGAUGGAUGAUUAUAUAGUAAAGUCAUAGUGGCAAGACUACUGCUGCUUUUGUCGCCCUUACUUGUACUCUUCCUUUGUGAUUUUUCUGUUUAAUAUUAAUAUAAAAACUACUAGGAAUCAUGCCUGGUGGUCUAUUUGCUAACAAAAAAAAUAUUGAAAAGGAAGGGCUUACCCUAUUUGUGCUUCAGACUGAAAUCUUCCAUCCUCUCCUAUGUACAAUUCCACCCUUUCUCUUACUUAAUCAAAUUAAAGAAUGCCAUAUACUCUCAUUGCCCUCCUCUUUCUCCUCAACUCCUUGCUAUGAGUGAUCAAUUUUGAAUGAUUGUACUGAAUAUCAACGUGGGGGCCCUUGUGGAUAAAUCAAAAUUUGGGGAUAUAAAUUAGAGAGUAGGAGUAAAGAAAAAGGGUUGGACAGUUGUAUCAAUUUGCUUAAAUUUCAUCCUACUGAGUGUGAAGGACUGGCCUGAGAACGUUUUGUUUGUGCAUGAUAGGUAGUUUUCUAUAAGCCCGUGUGUGGUUGAAUUUGCGACCGCAGAAACAUUUUGCGUAUCGCAAAAUAGUCACAGAGAAAGGCAGAUAAAAGGAUAUAUCUGAAGAACAACAUGCAACCGAUAUGCGGUCGCAUAAGUUGUUAUGCGGCCACUUCUGCAUACCACAUAAUUUGUUUUGCUUCUGAGGGUUGUAUUAUGUGAUAGGUUUUGCGGAUCGCAGAGUUGUUAUGCGAUCGCAUAACUGGUCGCAGAAACAUCUUUGUUUUUAAAUUCCUUAUAAUAUGUUACCCAUGCCUUAUCACUUACUCACUCUUUAUUAAUUGACAGGAAUGGAACCAAAGAAAGUUCGAGCAUCGCGACAACCCACCAAUCAAGGAAAGAGACAUGCUGCUGCUAUAAGCCCACAAUCACAACAAUCCCAAUGCAAGCGGCCUGACUCAUCCAGAACUUUAUCUGCGUAUUCCUCCCAGUAUGAAGAGGAGGAGGCACAACUUGCUCUUAUGCCACCAGUUGACCUCCAUGCCGAAGCAUGCCGAAAGAUGGGUGAGGAUCUCAGGUUUGGGAUCUCCGGCUCUUGGACUUUGUACCUAGAUGGCCUGACAAAGAGAAAGAUCCUCGAAGAAAAGAAGCUAGGCUUGAACGGGUUAAAAUAACACUACCCCCAUGUGCUAGAAAACAUCAAAACAAGAGGAUGGGAGUUCUUCACUCAUGUUCCGGGGGAGUACAAUGAGACACUCAUUAGGGAAUUCUAUGCUUCAUAUGCUGCAUCCAGGAACGCUGAACAGGAGAGAAACCAUAGGUUUUUGGCAUCCGUCUUAGUUUGAGGGGUUGAAAUAUUCUGUGAUGCCUCCUCAAUCACUGAUAUAUAUUAUGAAGCAUGGGAAACAGGCACUUCAGAAUUUAACGCAAGAUUGCAAAUAAGUAAUCCGAGCGUGCUUGGGUAGCCUCUUUCAUAUCCAAGGGAACUCCGUCCUUGAUCGCGCCGCGCCAGAAGAUUCACAUAGGGAUCUUACACAAGAAGGCUAGUAUUGGCUCAGUUUGGUUUGUUCUCAUAUAAUGCCCUCCAGCAAUGAAACUGACCUAAGUAUCGAGAAGGCGAUCCUCAUUGCAUGCAUCAUGUUGGGUAUCAAGGUUAAUGUGGGAGAGCUUAUAUUCCGUGAGUUUAGGAUCCGGGCGAACCAGAAAGAAACCUCGCUUCUUUUUCCAUGCUUAAUCCAUGCUUUGUGUGAAGCUAGGGAAGUUCCUCCUUUACCCAAACAUGACCGUAUAGAAACAGCUGUUCAUGACUCUGACAUUACACGGAUCAAUGAUGCAUUAGAUAAAGUGAUUGAAGGUCCAUUAGAACAUUCAAUCACUCCUCUCCCAGCCUCUGCAACAUCUGCUACCUCAUCAGUGCCCGACACUUCAUCCGCGCCAGCAACAUCCACAUCCACUCCAAGACCAGCCACUGCAACACCACUUGUCUUACUGCCUGCACUUUCAAAGCUUGGGCUACUGGCACAACAUGCAAAUGCCAAAGUGGAUAAAUUGACAAAAGAACUUUCAUCUCUCUUCCGGUAAGAACUGGCCCCGAUCCAAACCUCAGUAAGUGCUCUUCAACAACAACAUCUAUCAUAUGAUAAUCGACUAAAGCGCUUGGAAGUGCGCCUUGAAAGGGUUUGAGAUAGGCAGCGAUGGGGACAUACCUCAACUAAAAAAGAAUGUAUCUGAGCUCAAGUCAGAACUGCAUAAGAUGCAGACACGGGAGUUUGAUUUGACCUCCAUUCUGCCGGUGGAAGGAGAGUAGGGCAUUGGAACCUCCCACAUACCAAGCCAUGAGUUUGAUUUUACAAACAUCAUGUCAGCUGAGGUAGCCCAUGGUACUGCGAUCUCACAAGCUCCGAGCUCCGUUUCACACACCAACGAUCCAGAAGCUGAGGAAUCUGGAGAGUCUGAUGAAGGAACUGAUGAAGAGGAAACUGAUGAGGAGAGGAUACUUGAGGGGGGUGAUAGUAAGAUGGACAAGAGAGGCAAACAAGUUGUUGGUUCUAUAUAUGCACUGGCUAAAGAGGAGGAAGAUGUGAAAAUAACCAUUGCACAGUCCCUUGCAUAUAUAGUCGCCAAAGCUACUACCAUGACCAUACAACAAUCAUUGGGUGAGGCUAGCAGCUCACAGGUCCAAGACCCAGCAACACAACUAUCCAGUCAGAUGUUCCACCUACUGCAUCUAUAGUGUCAGCCCCAAGGCCGCCUCGGAUGUUCCAACCUCCCCAAGUGCCUAGUACGCCCCAGGAAUUCCCAAAAACUUUACUCUUACUUUCUCAAUGCAUUGGGGACAAUACAUGCUCUUUCGUUGAGGGUGGGGUAGUAAAUAUUUCACAACUUGUAUAUAAAAUUUUAAUCUUAAAAUUGUAGAUUUGUAUAUAACAAUGAAUUCUCCUUAGUUUUUCUUCGCUGGGUUCUUUUCCACGGGUGUAAUAGUAGAACCAUGGCCACAAAACAUCUUGGACUUGUUUAGUGAUUUUGUUCUAGCUUCAAGCAUAUGAUAUGUUUUUGUUGAAUAAAGUGCACCCUUCAAAUUUUGUAAAUAAAUGGUUAGUCAGUCUCGUGAAAUCGAGGCUCACUUUUUGACUUUGUGCCUACUUAGAAUCUCAAAUAUCAUGUGAAGAAGCUUUGAGUUGCCUUGUAUUCACUUGAGGGCUAAAAUUAUGCCGAGUCGAAUAGUUCAUGCGUUGUGAGUGAGUUAGAAGUUGUGUAAAUAUUGCACUGCUUAACUUGUAAUCUAUAGAACUUGCCCCGUUGGUUUCUCAAAGCAAUUCUCAGGUUGAUGAUUGGGCGUUGAAAUGAUCUUAGGCUCUCUUUAUGAUUGAUAACUAAUUUUUGACCAAAUAACCUCCUUGGUACAUCUAUUGUCCUAGUUACCCCCCCUGUUGAGCCUUUAACCUUUUAUUUGGCUACUACAUUAUAAACCUUUACCCCUUUGUGAAAUAAGUUCCCUUUGAACCCGUCCUUCCUUGAACGAGUAAGAAUAAGGCUAAAAGCCUAUGUUGGGGGUGUUGGUGUUAAUUGAAAAUUGGUAAAGUUGUACAUUGUGUGUAGAAUAAAAGACCUCAUAGUUGUGUAUAUGAAGAUAAUCAAAAAAAAAAGAAAAAAAAAUGUUGGUGUGGAGUCUUAUGAAAACUAAAGAAAUACGUUGAGGUAGUUCUAUGUCGGUAACUAGAGGUCAAUUAGGGCUAUGCGGUAAAAAGCAAAGUGUAUGUAGAGUUCAAGGAGGGUACAACCACUACAUUCCCAAAUAUUCGUCCAACCCGUCCCGAAGCCUACAUUACAAACCAUGAAAAGUCCUUGGUAAUCUACAACCAAUUAUUCCUAAGAUAACAAUGAUUUAAAAUAAGGGCAAGCAUAUGGACUGAUAUUUGUAGCGUUUAGGCUCCUUUCCGAGUGCAAGAGCGUUUGAUUGUAUCCCCUGUACAUAUUUGUUGAGUUGGGGAUUUUCUUUGAUGUGAGCACGCAUGAAUUGCAAGAAUUAGCAGAAAUUAAGCCUUUUGAGGUAGGAUACAAAUGCAUAUCUAGCUAUGAGUAGCACUCUGUCAUUUUUCUAGAGGCUCAAAAGUUCACUAAAUGAUUAGUCGAACUGUACUUGAUCUUUGUCCUUGAAGAAGGGUGAGAGUUGUGGUUACAUGCUUGUUAGCUAACGGUGAGCAUCAUCCAUAGUCAUUGCUACUUUGCAAUGCAUUUAGUCAGUUCAGUUGAUAUUAUGUUAUAUUUUUGUUUGUUUGUUUGUUUGUCUCUCUUCUAUUGUAGUUGUGUUUAUUUGUUUGUUGCUUGAGGGCAAGCAAAAGUCUAAGUUGGGGGUGUUGAUGUGCCGUAGAAUUGCGGCACUUUUGAUACUAAUUACAUAGACUCUAGCUCGUCUUUUGAAGCAUUUUAAGUUAUUUUGUUAUGUAGUUUUGAUGUUUUGUAGCAAACUAGGCUUGAAGAACCAAGAACAAGGAAAGGGGAACAAAAAAACCAUAGAAUGCCAGAAAUGUUGCAGGUCUGUGACCGCACAACUGAUGUGCGGGCCGCAUACCAACCGCAGAGUGAAGCAUAUUUUCUCAGUUAUGAGAGUGGAUUGUGUGAUCUAUUGUGCGGUCGCAUAAUGCUUAUGCGGACCAAAUAAUGACCAUACAAGUGCAAAGAGAGUUUUUGCGAGAACAAGUCUGCGACAUCAAAUGCGAUCGCGAAAUAAAUAUGCGGACCAUAUAACAGAAAUGCGAUGAACAAUUGGGCAACUUGACAUUCAAUUAUGCAAUGGAGUUGCAGUUAUGCAGGCCGCGAAAGUGUUCUGCGACCUAUUCUGCGAUCGCAGAUGUGAUCCGUAGGGGUAUAUUUGUCAUAUUUUGACCCCGACUUUUAGCCUAUUAUAUAUAGAAUAACUAGGGUUUUUGAGGGACAACUACUUUGAUAGAGAGAGGCUACGCUUAGGACAUUGAAUGCACCAUUAUUUUGGAAGCAUGGGAGAUAAAAUCCAAGACUUUGUCUAUAAUUGUAAGCUUCAUGACUUUAUUUAUUACAUUGCUGUUGUAUUCUAGUAUGAGUAGAUAAGUUUAAAUAUAAAGGUUGUGAAUCCUAUAUGGGUGUAAUGUUAAUGUGUGUUCAUCAUUGAAUGUUUAUAUAAUGGAAAGUUGAUUUCUAUUCAUUUCUCAUGCGUCAUUUGUAGUUGAUGGUUGCAAAUAUUGACUAGUGCCAAUUCAUUCUAUCUUUACUUGGGAAAGUGGGUUAGAAUUUGGUAGAUUUGAAUAGCAAGAACUCAAGGCUCUAAACCCUAUUUAAUAGAAUCUCUUAGGAAUAAGUGGAUUCUAUUUUGCAUAAAUUGGUCGUUCUUAAUUAUCACUUAUUUUAUAUUUGGGAAAAUCAUAAAGAGAAACUACUAUCUAAUUGUUGGAAAAUAUUAGUUAGUAACCUAGAAAUCAUUUGCAUAUCAACGAGCUUCCCAUUUAACAAUAUGAAAUAUGGAUACCGUUAGCAUUGCAUUCCAUUGAUGGAGACACAAUCUUGGUUUCUUAAUCAAUUUUAUCAAAUUAUAUCAAUGAAAUAUCUUGUAUUGAUAAAUCUCAAUUACAACACUCUCUUUUUAAGCUAACGGAGUAGGAUUACGACUUAAGUCAAGUUUUACACUACUCAAGUAACCUUUUCACACCUAUUCCCUGUGAGAUUCAAACCCAACCUAGUUGGGUUACUAUAUUUGACAUCGGUCGCUUUAUACUAUUUAUUUAGGUGUAAUUUGAGCGUAUCUGCAUCUAGUUGGAAAGUACGUGCUUGGGAAGAUUUAAUUGGUUACGUAAUCGUAGCGAUCGUGGUAGGGGUAUGAAAGGGUGUUCAUUUGAGGAUAGUUUACUGUCCUAGAGUCUAUGUGUUUGUAUGGGACUUCAAUUCAGUGAAAGGUACAUAUUUUCAUUCAAGGCACUUAAGGAAAUGGGCCCGACUAUCACGAGGAUGGACAUGCACUAAUUAGGUGAUUUGAGGCAUCUUACGAUAGGAGUUGUACGAGCUAUGAAGGUUGAUAUUGCGGAUCAUCAGAUGAUAUGUCCUAUGGCUUUGCGCCAAGUAGGGGAGUCUACUAUCGACGAUCGGAUUGCAUGGUCAUGUGAUAUAUCAGUCUUGGUCUGAGGUAUAUAUGUGGUAUUGAAUGGUUCCCCGAAAUUUGUAUAUGGUUAAGGACUGAUAUUUGCAUGGGAUAAUGUUGGGACUUGUUGUAUUUUUGUGUCAUUAAUAAUUCUACAUUUUAGUAUCAGAGAGGUUAUUGAAACAACUUCGGAUUCACAAAAAGGUUUCUUCAGAGUGGACAUCUCGGUUGCAACAUUAUAGGGUGCUUCAGAGGAAAUAAAGUGGCUUAUGGGAUUCUAGGCCACGUGGUUCGUGCUAGGAUCUUCUGCAUCGAGAUUUGAUUUUGGGAUCAUUAUGUACCGACAAGAAGAAGUGUUACCCUUAAGAAAGGUCAAGGAGGAUCCGAAGGAAUGGGUCAGUUCGGUGGUGUUGGGCCAGCAUAGCAAGAAAGGUAAUUUGUCCUUUUUGGGUGGUAAUUCUUUAUCGGUAUUUGUGGCAGUACUAUUGGGUUUGACGGUUUGCAUGACUUGAAUGAGUUGGGAAAGUUCAGUCAUAGAUGGCAUGGGCGAUUUCAAAAGUUAAAGGAGUAUUGGAUGGAUAUCACAGAAGAAGAGAUUGCAUUUUUGGAGGCACCUUAUGUUUUGAAUUGCGGAUGUUUGACUAGUGUUACGGUGAUCGCCUGGUUUUAGGCUUCUGAAGUUCAGGUUUUGUUGCAUGGCAUGGCAGAUCUAUGUGGGUGUUUUUCGUAAGAUGAUGGAGUGUGAGUGAAAUACCAUCCAUUUGAGUAGCGGGAUUGAGAUCGGGUAUGGAUACUGGUAUUCAUGAGGUUUUGGGACUGGAUGUCCACGUAGGUAGACUAUUCCUUGAUUGUGGAUUGUGAAGAAAUGUUGAGAAUAGGAUAACUGAUGGCAUACAUUAUGGAUAGGUUUUUAUGAACUUUGGGAAGGUUAUUUAUCUGUUUGGGAAUAACCGGAGUUGGUUUGGGGGUUAUUUGAAAGCCUAAUGAGAAUGUGUAUUCUAUAUCAGAUAAGGUUUUUUUACUCUUACGCAAUUUCUAUCGUGGGUAUAUUAUCGGGCAGAAUGGAUGUUAUUCAUGCCCCAGUCUAUGCUAUGUGCUUCUCUGUUAUGCUUUGAUGGGUUGUGAGGUUAUAUAAUUAUUUUCACGCAUGUUGUAAUCCCAUUCAGGCCUUAUGGUGAUAUGGGUGGGAUGGCCCUCGUGAUGUUUAUUUGUUUAUUGCACCUUAGUUGUUCUUGCUUUUCUCCAUAUUGUAUUAUUCCCAUUCAUCUUUCCACUGUUAUAUUUGUGCUCUCUAGUGUGCUUGAUACUGGGAUACAUGUGAUUAGUGAUCCCAAGCAUUUUGGCUCGAUGGGUGUCCCUAUAUAGAUUGAUAUAUUUUGGAUCGGAUUGCGCGCCGCAACGGAUGCUAUGUGGGAUACUUUCCUUGUGGUUAUUUGAUGUUUUAUUUUCCCUCUGUGGGAUGAGUUAAUGAAAUUGCACUUUUAUUAUUAUAUUUGUUGUACUUGUUAGAUAGUUUUUGUACCUUGCUUUCUUUCUAUUGUUAGAUACUUUCUUUCUGAGUUAUUUCUUGUUUGGUGUAUGGACCAUGUUGUGUGAGAUUCUAUGUGGUUUUGGUGUGACUUAUCAGUGGGCUACUUGUAUGUGUUCAGAUGAGGUUUCUAGACCUGAGAGUUGCACUAUUGUAUUGGGAUGAGGAGUAUUUGAUUGAAUGAUACCCUAUUUCCGCUAAGAAUUGAGCAAUGAGCCUUGUCGAAUGAGAGAACUUCUUGACUAUUGAUUUUGUAGGUGAUUAUGAGUUUUCGCAUGUUUAUUUUAUCACUACCAGCAUCACGGAGGUCUAGAAUGAGGUUUUAUUUUGCAUGAAGUGUAUUACCGGUACCGAGAUUACUAUUUGGCCGAUCUGGUGGUCGGAAGUUGCUACUAUGGAUAGCUGAGGUAUGUUAAAUAUCAGGUGAUUAUACCUUGAGUUGAGGUUGUUACUUGGUCUAAGUUGUCCACGCUUACAUACGGUAUUGAUGCGAGAUUCGAGGCUUAUGAUGAGUUUCAGAAGUUGAGGAUUAGGCUCAAAGGUUUAUAGACUAAGGAUGAGGUGAGAUCUUUAGUUAAAUUGUGUUGUCAGUCUUACAUGGAUUGGGGUGAUGUUCGAUCAUCCCCGGGUGUAUGUAUGGUGAGCUCGUGCAGUGAUUUGAUAGCUUUGGAACGACUCCUGGCACGUUCGAGGACGAAUGUAUGUUUAAGUGGGGGAGGAUGUAACGACCCGACUGGUCGUUUUGAGUAUUUGCAUUCAGUUCGGCGGUUUGAGGUCACAAAUAGCUUCACAUGGUGUAUUAUGACUUACGUGCAACGUCGACUUUGGUUUUUGAGUGGUUCGGAAUUGAUUUUGUAUGAUGACCCUCACUUGAGAAGUUUGAAGUUGAAAGAGUUAACCAAGUUUGACUUUGUAUAUUUGACCCCGAAUCGGAGUUUGGAUGGUCUUGAUAGGUCCGGAUGGUGAUUUUGGACUUGGGAGUAUGCCCGGAGUUGCAUUUGAAUGUUUCUAGAAGGUAUAGGCACCAUUUGGCGGAAGUUGGCAAUUGAAAUAUUUGGAAUUUUUUGUAGUUUGAACAUGGUUUAACUUUAAGGAUAUCGAGUUCGGAUUUUGGUUUUGGGACUUGGAAUAGGUCUGUUUCGUCAUUUGGAACUUGUCUACAAAAUUUGGUGUCGUUUGGAGUUGGUUUGAUGUGGUUUGGACGCUUGGUUGCAAUUCUAGAAGUUCUUAAAGUUCAUUGUGAUUUCAAUGCGUUUUGGUGUCCGAUUCAUGAUUGAUGGUAUUUAGAUGUUUUAAUUGAGAGCGAGUUCAUAUUAUGUUUAUAGACUUGUGUGGAUAUUUGGUUUGGAGCCCCAAUGGCUCAAAUGCGUUUUGAACGUGUUCGAGGGGGGUUAGGGAGGGACCUCCCUUUUGCGAGGAAAUCAUCACUUUUGCGAAGUUGACUGAGGCCUGCAAAGUUUGCAUUUGCAUUGAAGGCCUGGGCUGGGGAAGAGUCCCUUAUGACUUCUAGUGUAGAUUCGUUAUUGCGGUUGGUUUUGUGAUACGCCGUAGUAGGUUGUAGUUAUUUGUGUAAUGCCUAUUUUAUGGGGAUCGGGUUGCAUGCUGCAACAAUAUUGAAAUGAUAUAAAAAUAUAUGAUAUGGAGCGAUAAGGACGAUGACAUGAUAUAGGUGAGAUCGGGUUGCACGCCGCAACAAAUAUUAUUAUUAUUGUUUGGAAUCAGGUUGCACGCCGCAACAGAUUGAUAUAUUGUAAUUGUUGUGACAGUAAAUUUAUCCUGAAUUGUUAUUCUCAUGGUGUGUUCUAUGUUGGAAUGGUUUAUCAGUUGGACGAUUUUAUUUUUUCCCUUAAAUCAUUUAAUUGGUAUUUGAUCAUUUAAUUUCUUGUGUUACUCUAAUGUGCCAUUAUGUGCCUCCAUUAUUACUUGGUAAAUUGAAUGUCAAGGUGAAUUAUAUGGUCAUUAUCUCAUAUUCUGUUGAGUUGUUGGUAACAUAAUGGUUUAAAAUAAAAGAAUUAUUAACAUGUCUUAUUCUAUGUGUCUCUUAAGAUAGAACUCGUUAUAUCACUCAGUUCCUUAAUAGUUUUAAAUGGAUAUCACAUUUGCACUUUAAUUGGGUUCUCAAAUUUUAUUCAUCACCCUAUUGAUGUUUACUUUACUUAAAACAGUUAUCACAUUUUAUUUCUAACAAAUCCUAAAUUUAGCUUGUUAAUUUAACUGAGGUUUUAUUUUGUUUAAAUAUGAUAUUUUUACUUUAUCUUAUUAAUUUCUAAACUAAACCCAUCUGAUACUCUAUUUGCAUGACCUUUCCUUUAUUCUACUUUAUUUGAAUCCUAAAAUAAACAUAUUAUCUCAUUUGACACCUCUUUUUAUUCAAGAUUGUUAUUAUGCUUUAUUGUGUUUUAAUAUAUCUCUCGAUCAUCUUAACUGAUAUUGAUACAUAUGCGAUGUACAUGGUAGCACGAGGACUUUGCCGUGCGAAGGUGAUUGUUAUUGUGAGCACGAGGUGCCAACGUGAAAGAUUUGAAAAUGUGGAUAACGGUUUGUGAUUUCGAGGAGUGGUACAUCAGGGUAAAACUUGUUGCAAGUCCAUGCAUUGAGAACAAUUUAAUUAAUUAAGUUUUUAUCUUUAACUUAUUGAGUUCGUUCAUAUCCCAUCGUUGUUGUGAUUAUGCUGCUGUUCUAUUACCCGUCUACUUCUUUCUAGCAUUUGAGUUUCCAUUAUCUUCGUCGUUGGUUGUAAAUUAUAAUCCUUCCAUUGUUAGUCCUACAUGUAUGUUCUUUCCAUUGUUAAUUUUGUGUUACAUCUUGUAUAGGUUUCUAUGUUUAGUAGGUGUCUUGACCUGGCCUCGACACUACUCCACCGAGGUUAUGCUUGAAACUUUUGGGUACCAUUGUGGUGUACUCAUGCUACGCUCCUGCACCAUUUUGUGUAGAUUCAUGUACUUUUGAUCGUGUUAUUGAGAGUUGUGUCUGCGCGGAUGAAGACUUCAAGGUACACCUGCUUGACGUUCGAAGGCCUCAGAGUCACCCUCAGUUAUCUUCGCAUUACUGUUUAUCCUUUUAUAAGACAAUGUUGUAUUAGAGGUUUUAGUACGUUUCUGUAGAGCUUACGACUCACUUUCACCGUGUUUUGGGAAUGUUAACUAGGUAUCAUAUUUUUAGUCGUUAUUUCUAUAAUAUUUCCUUGUUGAUUAGGCUUACCUAGACUUAGAGGCUAGGUGCCAUCACGGCAUCUUAUGGUGAGAAAAAUGGGAUCGUGACAUGGACCCCGAGAUAUACUUGUGCCAGUGAGGGGCGCCUCAACCACAAAACCAGGCUCACACCAAAAUACCCUUGAACUUUGACCAUUACUCUUCCUCAAAGGUUUGAGCUCAAACAAAUGUUAAUUCACCAACUCAACCAACAUAUAACAUGAAAGGUAGAAGGUUCAUCAAAUAACCUUUCAAAGGUUCAGCAAUUCAAAAACACCAACUUGAAAUCAAACAACCUUGUUAAGAAUUGAAGCCAUCAUUAGAGUGCCAAACCAUAAGAAACUAAGGACUUAACACAAUAUGGACCUUGAAUAUAAGAAUAGGUCAUUGUAACUGGAUCAUUAAAGGUUUGAUGGUAACAAAAGGCCUUGAUAGGUCACAAAGCAAAGAAGGUUGGUUGUAUGCUGACAGUACAUAGGUUCUAUUUCUUACAACUUCAAGUUUAAGAAUGCCUUAUUGAGUAGUCUAAAGUAUAAGUAAGUGACAAUGAUGGGCAUAUGCACUUGUUUUAUUAUUUUCAAUAAAGGUGCAACACUUUAGAACCUUCUUAAAUACGUUCAGAUCACUAGAGCAAGUAACAGACAUCUUAACAAUUUUUGGAACAGUUGUGAGCAAAUAUGCAUAUAAUAACCUCUCUUCAUUAAACACUUAUGCUAAUGACCUCACUCAGAAUUCAAAGGGGGUAUACGAAUCAGCUGGGAUAACAUGGAUAUUAACAUGACUAGGAAGGCUAGCUUUAGUCUUUAUUUAAACCUAAUGGCCGUGGUAUUUAGUCAUGACAAUGCACACAGUCUAUUAGGUUUCAAAUUACCAGAACCAAACAAUACUCAGAUUCAUUAGUGAGUACUCCCUAAUCAGUGUUGUCAAACAGUUAUGAAAUAAAAAGUAGAGAUGUUCUUUUUUAGUUGGUCAAAGCAGGGUAAGUAGAUCACAUCAAGUGACCAUUUAGACAUGUAAGCAAGUUUAUCAAUAAGUCAUGACAACAAAUCUCCCCACAAGAUUUUAUUUUAUACAAGUUGUCAUGAUAGACACACAUGAAUCAUUUUAUCAUAACUGUGCAAUACAUCACAUUAUCAUAAACAAGAUGUCAGUUAGAGUCAUUUAGGUAAACAAAUAAACAUUAGAAUAUGAGCAUAAUCAUCAAUAAGAACCAGUCAAUAGACUAGACCAAAAUAUCAUGACAUUAAAGGUUGAGACAAACAUAAUGAUGCAUGCAUAAGGGUCUUAGCUAGUUAACAUAAUGAUUUAAGCAUGAAAUUUUCUUAACUAAUGGCAUGUAAAACUUUACGAACAUUACUUGAUUAGAAAAAAUCAUGAUAAAUAUAGGCACAAACAUAAAAAUCAAUAAGUGCCAUUCAAUAAAUACAACAGUGUAGGUUGCACAUAACUACUAUCAUAGAAUUCAGACAGUCACGAGGAAUUAAUAGAUUGUUUAUAAAGACAACAAUAAGGCGUCAUUUCAGUUAUUUAAGCAUGAUCAAACGAUUCAACGAUCAUCAUGAAAUAUUUAUUUGACAACAACACAUGGAUAAACACAAUCUUCAGCAAACAUCAUUAAUAUAAACAAGAGUAACACAAGAGCAUAAUACAAUAAGAAGGUUGCAUGUGUACAGAUGAACACCAUGAAGAGGAGAAUAUCAAAUAAUAACAGAAAAAUAUCAGAACAAAGAGCUACAUAAUUAAUUGAAAGAAUGAAAGAGAGGAGUCAGUGUUCACUGACCUUCUUCAGAGAAGCAAACCCAAUAAGGAUGAUUUGUAGCCAUUUAAGAAUCCAACCUCACAACCAACUUACAAUAAUCAAACUCGAACAAGAAGAAAAGUGAAAGAGAUUAGAGAAGAACUUCGGAAUACUUAGAUCAACAGAAAAUUCUUAAGUCUUAGUGUGUGUUAUGUGUUCUUUCAAUGCCUUUUUCGUGAUUUUUCAGUGUUUGGUGAGAGCAUUAAAAGCUCUAGUUAUAGUAGUAUUGAAGCCUUAGGGCUUCAUUUGAAUUCAAAGGGAUAGUGGGGGAUGACGAGUGAUGAGUGACUGAUGAUGAUAUCAAAAGGGGGGAAAACAGAAGGAGAACAAAUCGGAAAUCAGGAUGGAGCUUUUACC